AUGUACCUGCCUGUGACGAGCGACGCGAUCCGAUCCGCCGCCGCCUUCAAGCGAAGCGUCGCCGCCGCGCGUCGCGAUCUGGCGUCCCCGCUGGUGCUGGACACCCGCGACGCCGAGGGGCGGUACACCUUGCUGGAGUCCGCGCUGACCCACAUCGACCACGCAUCCGGCUCCCUCUCCGCUUUCAUCAUCAACACGGUGGUGGCCGAGCGCCUGACGCUCCACGGCUGCGGCGCCGUCCCAUCGGAGCCGGUGGCCCGCAUCGGCGACCUCCGCGACGGCCACGGGCGCCACGACGAGUGGCUUGCUCUCGUCAGGCUCCAGGCCGCCAGGGAGCACGCCGAGGACGCGCUCCGCCGAGUGGAGGGGGCCUACACCCUCCUGGGCUCCGUCCGGUUCAUGCUUCACAGCCAGAACCCCGACGCUCCAGGGCGCCGGCAAGCCAUGGAAGGGCAGCUCCACGCCCUCGAUCUCCAGCCCGUCGUGGUCGGCGUGGCGAGCAUGUCCGCGCUGGCCUCCUUGGCCACCGAGCCCCCCAUCCGCUACCGCAUCCAGUGA
rnacentral:rRNA from 1 species